UGAGCUAAGACAUCCAUGUUUCAAGGCGUUGGUGAUUCCUCCUCAUCUCACAGUGGUGUCCUGGUCUGUCAAGCAUGUGUCCACAGCUGAACAGAAAUCCUACCAACUUUCUGCUUUGCUGGUGCAAGUCCAUGAUCUGGAACAAAGAAAACGUCGCUGACUCUCCUUCGACGUGAGUGAAGUUUCC